UUAAAUUUUCAAAGACUUUGAAAAAAAUUUUUCAACCUCUAUGUUUUGUAUUAUACUAUGAUCUUAUAAAAAAGAAGAAAGAUUGACAUAUCAAAACAAUGUAGUUUGAGCACAAGUUGUUCAAACAAACAAAUGAUAUCUUCUAAGAAAAUAGGAAGAAAAAUUAAUAUAACCAACAAUGUACUUUGAAUACAGGAUAUAACGAACAAGUGAUAUCGUUUUAUUAUCAUUUUUAACAUCCAAAAAAAUAUUCCAAGCAGUCUUAUAAUAUUCAAAAAUAUAUUUUUAUUGAAAAAAAAAAUGUAUAACAAGUGUUCCUUAUAGUAAGAAAUAUAUAAAACAUCAUUCAGGAUUGAAGAAUAUAAUGCAGGUUACUAACCUAACUUGAUUGGUAAUUGUAUUAAGGACAAGACCAGUUUUGAUAUGAAUCAUUUAAAUAAUACCAUAGACAAAUUAAUAAUCCGGAGGAAUCUCACAAUCUAACUAAAUGUCAAAAUAAACGCCGAGGGGUAAGCAAAUGCUUUUUUCGUAAGUUUUUGUGUGGUUUGUGAAGUUAUUUGUUCGAUUUCCCAGUUUUAUUGUAAAAUUGCUUCUUAAAUAGUUGAUAUUAAAAACAUUUCGAAAUUUAUCUAUACAGUGUUUUGCUUAGUAUAGGCAAGCGAUGAAUAGGAUUUAUUGGGAAAGGCCAAUUUUGAUAGGAAUCGUUAGAUUAAUACCAUAGACAAAUUAAAAAUACGGAGGAAUCUCUACAAUCUGUCAAAAUAAUCGCUGUGGGGUAAACAAAUGCUUUUGCCUUAAGUUUUUGUGUGGUUUGUGAAGUAAUAUGUUCGAUUUUAGGCCUUAUUAAUCUCAGUUUUACUGCGAAAUUGCUUCUUAAAUAGUUGAUUUUGAAAAGAUUUCGAAAUUUCCUUCCGGUAACGUGGCUUUCAUAGUUGUUUGUAGCCAGGGAGCCGAAAAUGAGGUAUUAGAUGGCAGUGUCCGAUUAGAAGUUCGAUCACUAGUCUGAUUUCACGCCUAUUUAGCUGGAGCAGUUGUUUAGUGAAAGACGAACGGAGUCCAUCUAUCUGGACCUUCGUUUAUCUCAUUCCAGGUGUCUCUAGACCGUUCAGAGACGCGAUGGCAACGCUUUUGGCCACACCAAGGAUGUUUUCUGGACCCGAUCUGCGUGGGGUAGAUUUUGCUGUCAAAAUUUCAUUAAAAUCGAUGCACGGAGUUGUUAGCUUUAAAUGUAAAAGAUAUCGGGGUACCUACCUCAUUCCUCUGGUUUCAUUAGUGCUUAUAUCGGAGAUAUAAGAUAAUAGACUAACGAAAAACGCAGCAGAACCCCCGGUUAACAUAGAUGGUAUUGAAGAUAACAUAAAAUACCAAGGACUUACAUUUGGAAAAUAACUUAGUACAGUCAUUAUCAUUAAAGCAAAAACCAUACCUAAAAGGUGAAUGAACCUGUAGAAUUUAUGAUAUUUGAAGUCUCUCAUGGCUACUAAAACUUUACGAGUGCAACUAUCCAACCACCACCCAGAUGAUACACUAUGCACUUCUAUUGCGCCACUCUAUAUUACUCAAAAUUCGUAUUAUAUCGUAUAAAAUUUGGUUAACUUUUAUGUUGAAUUAUUUUUGGAUAAAUAAAAACCCAUGAUUCCAUUCGAUUUUUAACGUUUACAAUUUCCUGUACGUCUGGCAAUUGAUAUAACUAUAAAUAAAUCGCAAGGCCGGUCGUUGGAAAUUUAAGUUUUUUAUUUAUCGAUUGAGGCAUUACGAAAAUUAGUUUGAAAUGAAAUAAUAUCCAAUGCUAAAUAACAAUAAUUAUAUAAAACUUUGAUAAUUAGAUUAUUCUGUUUAGUAUGACGAUGGUAACCUUGAGAUUAAACAUCGAUGUUUUAAUUUUCAUGCAAAAAAAUAACAAACAAACAGUAACGGCUACAAGGAUCAUAUUUUUUAUAUAUAUACUGUUAAUGAUAAGAUAAAAAAAUUGUUAGCAAUGUCUAAUAUUACUCAACAUUAAAGUUAAAAUUUUAACGGGUUUUAGUUGGGGUGAUUCGAUUGGAAUAAACCCUAAUACUAGUUUUAUACACGUAAUUACAGGGUGUUUCAUUUAAAAUGGGAAAAUUUCACUUAGAUUUCGGUAGAACUGUUAGAAAUUUCUAAAUAUUAUAGAUAUUAUAGAUGCUUCUCUUUUAUUUUCAUUUCCAAAAUAUUUAAUACUCGUUGCCCAUAACUAUUUCCUUUCUUUUAAUUACGCGAUGUUUUAUAUAUUAUUAUAAAGGAUGUUCCAAAAUUGACGAAUUAUUUGUAUUAAAAAUAUAUUUCAAUAAUCAAAAUUCAUAUCCAAACUGACUUUAAAUUGCUAUUCAUUUUUUGACGAUAUAUAUGGCUACAUUGCGCUGUCAUGAAACACCUAAAUAGAAAAUUUUAGUGUCACUCAUUUGUAAAGAAAUGUAUAAUCCCAAAGAAAUGUUUGUAUGACUGGAUAUCUGUCAAAUGUCAGUUUUACGUUGCUACACUGUUUUUCUGUUUUAAAUAACUUUGAAUUUAUUAGAUUUAGUUUUAUUUAUCAGUUGUUUGUGUAAAUAAGAAAAUAAAUACGUAACCUCAUUUUAUUUAAAUCGGCAUAUACGUUAACAACUUUAUUUUUAAACAAGCUAGUGUUCCCAACUUAUUUUAUGACGUAAUAUAUAAAUAUGGAUGCAGCCACAGAAAGAAAUCAAUACAUCAGGUAAAAAAAAGAAGAGUUACUUACACUUGUGUAAGUCAUCGGCAAAAUAAUAAUAUAAUAAUUUGAUAUAAUAGGCGUGAAAUUCGCUUGAAAUUAAUACGUUUUCUAUACGAGGAAAUAAGUUUGGAUGCUAUUAAAAAGUAAUUGUGAAAAAAAUAAAUGGCAACUAGGCAUAUCAUUAAUCUAAAUUUCGUAGUUGUACAUUUAAUCUUCAAAUAUUCACCCCACAACUCGAAAAGUACUUCAUGAUGAUAUAAAAUCGAAUUAACACGAAAAUACCUGUUUGCCCACAACCGCCAUAUUGAAACGAAAUGUUAACGUCUGUAGAAAAGACUUUGAAUGUUUGUUUAGCUUUUGAAGGAGAUGAAUAAAAUCGAUUUGUUGUAAUGAAAAUUGUGUUUUUGAUGUAUUAAAUUAUUUUCAAAA